AAUGUUAAUGUUAAGAACUGAGAAACUCUGGAAUGUUUGUCCAGAGUCCCCAGCUUCAGAGCAAAUUCUCUUACACCACUAGGCUCCAGGGGAAGGCUUCAGCCAAAGGCAACAUGAGCAGAAACUCCAUCUGAUGGGGCUGUGGAAACAGCUGGAAGCACUUAGCAGACAAACCACCCCAAAUUCCUCUCCCAGAAAUGCUGACGGCAUGGGAGAUGUGGAGGGCAGGGGAAAGAAGGUGUGGGCUGUCAGGAUCUCUCUUCAGCUGUGGUCAGAAAAAAUAUUUUCUUUCCCUGAAAACUGAUCCCAAAGUGGUCCCAGAUGUGAAGACAAGGGAUGUCAGAAUACUAAGAAAAUACUUAAACCAGACGAAGUUUGAGAUCUCUCAGGAAGACUUAGCAACACUGACCCUACCAUGAGUAAUACAACCCAAGUCCUUUACUAACACCAUUUAAAAUUAUUUGGCUUGGAGGAGAGAAGCCUAGGGAAGACCACAGUACAUAGGCUGAACUGAGCUAAACCUCAUGAAGAAUGUCUGGAAAGAAAAUGAGUCUGUUUCCUGUUUGUACCUAUGAUUCCAUCUGGCUUACAAAAAGCCCGCUUUCUGUAUUUAAGGCGUAUUUAGUGAAUGUAUGUCCUAAGGAUCAAGAUGUUGCUAAAUCAUCAUAAAGUUUCAAGUAAAUGCACUCAGAAGAAAAAUGCAUGGCAUUUUCCACAGUUUUAAAACAUUAUCAUAGUUGAGUUUGGAUUUCAAUGGAGCUUUCCAGUGAAUGUAUUCCUGGACAGUCAAAGCAGUCUGAGCAAGGAAUGGAGAGCAAGCCAAUCAACAUUCUUCCAUGGCCUCUGCUUCAAUUCCUGCUUCUAAGUUUCUGCUUUGAAUUUCUGCCCUGACUUCUCCGGAUGAUGAAUUAUAGUCUGCUUUGCAAUCACAAACAAGCUAAUGAAAUACUACAUGUUUGUCUUUUUAUCUAUUGCCUGAUUAAUCAUGAUACAAAAGCAGUAAGAACAACUAACAUUCAUUGAUCAUAAAUGAGAACUUAUGACAAAUCAGUGAAGAUCCUGUUAACAUGAGGAACAACACAUCAGAGAACUUCAGCCUCUUGCCUUCUUAUACCUCAGCGUGCACAUGACAAAAGAGCCCUGAAACUUGCUAUUAGAAGGUAGUCUUACUGCCUAGUCAUUUCAGCUCAGCUUGUCUAUACUUUCUUAGGGGUUUCUGUCUAACAGUCAUGAGCUUUACGAGAUCAGUGGAAUAAAUACUGGAAACUCAAAACAAUCUUUAAUGUCUUUAAAAAAGAAGGAGGAGGAGGAGGAGAAGAAGAUAAAAGCAAAGGAGAAGGAGGAGGAAGAAAAAGAGAAGAAGGAAGAUAGACUUCUUAACAGUGACCAGGCAAUUGGCAUGAGUGCUUGUACAAACCACAGCUUUAUUAUUGCUAAAAAAAUCAAAUAAAAAUUCCAUACUAGACCAUUUUCAAAUGCCACCCAAGCACACCAAAGAAAUAUAGUUGUAAAUGAAUCCAUUGCAUGCCAGAAAUAAACAUUUCCAACCAAUCUCCCAGAUCCUGAAAACAUGUUCACAAAAUAUAAUGUCAUGAUAUUCAUUUCCUUGUUUUUUUUUGCAAGACUGAACAAAUGGGUAUCCAAUGGGUGAAAAUUUACAUUACUAAUGCUGAAGUGGAAAAUGCCCUCUGACUUUAAUGACUCCAACUUCAAAGGCAGUUUUAGACUUAAUAUUCACUGUUGUUAGAAAAGAAUGUCUUCAUAGUGCAUCUUCCUUUUGAUAUAUAUUUGUGAACAUAGAUAAUGUGACAUUACAUUGUUUUCAAGUUCUAAUUUAGUAUUAGCUAAUCGGUGAAUAAUCUUUGUAUAAAAAGCCUACUGAUAUUUCUAAGCAUUUCUGUCAGAAUACAUUUUUUUUUUUUAAAUUCCAUUCUAACCACAACUUGUUUGGAUUUCAGUUUCCUUUCAGUUUGUUCUUUGGUUUUGCUCAGACUUAUUUCACCCACCCCCAAUAUAUAUCCACUUAGCAAAAAAGAAUGCCUUAUACAGAGAAGCCAAACAUGCAUUUUUUAAAAAUUAACUUUCUUACUACCUAAAUUACAUGAUGUGUCAACUGAGCAUUUCUAGUCAUUUGUUAUCUUAAAACUUAAUUUCUCCUAUGCCAAUGUAUAUUUCUUAAAUUAAAGAAUAUUUGUGGUGAAGAAGAAGACUCAACAGCUACAAUGUAUUUAUGUAAAAUAACAGCUGAUUGAAGGCAUGGAGAACUGCAUACUGAAUUCAAUCAUGUGAAAUUGCUAAGGUUCCAAUUAAAUAAUAUUCUAUUAUAGUUUGUCCUAAUAUUACAUGCUCUCUGAAAAAAUUGCUUUUUUUUUUUGAGAAGCAGAAGCAAAGUUGUUUAUUAUAAUAGCGAGGAAUGCCUCUGCCCACAUCCCCUUGGUCCUAACUGCUUGGCCAACACAGUUUAUAUUAGCCAAUUGGAUGCUCCAGUCUCAUGCUCUGUCUUUAUUGUCUCCAUGUGUCAGGCAGGUUAUUUUAUGAUAACUCUAAAUAUAAUACUGAGAAGAUAUAACAAAUUAAAAAAUAAAAAUAUGAAUUAUUUCCUUAAUAUGCCUCAUAUAAAAGUUUUGAAAAUAAUAUUU